rnacentral:rRNA from 1 species
UACGAAAGAGACUAGCGUUGCUCGGAAUCACUAGGCAUAAAGCGCACGUAGACGGGCUCUUAAGUCAGUGGUGAAAUCCUGGAGCUCAACUCCAGAACUGCCUCCGAUACUGGGAGUCUUCGAGUCCAGGAGAGGUGAGUGGAACUGCGAGUGUAGAGGUGAAAUUCGUAGAUAUUCGCAAGAACACCAAUGGCGAAAGCGGCUCACUGGCCCGGUACUGACGCUGAGGUGCGAAAGCGUGGGGAGCAAACAGG